rnacentral:rRNA from 1 species
UACAGAGGUCCCCAAGCGUUGUUCGGAUUCACUGGGCGUAAAGGGUGCGUAGGCGGUCGGGUAAGUCUGACGUGAAAUCUUCGAGCCUAACUCGGAAACUGCGUCGGAUACUAUUCGGCUAGAGGAAUGGAGGGGAGACUGGAAUACUUGGUGUAGCAGUGAAAUGCGUAGAUAUCGAGAGGAACACUAGUGGCGAAGGCGAGAUCCUGGACAGUAUCUGACACUGAUGCACGAAGGUCAGGGGAGCAAACGGGAUUAGAUACCCGUGUAGU